CACCGCGGAGGAAAUCCAAUAUGGUGUCCGUCGUUCAGCGGUUUACUUCGGAUGUCCGUAUUUCGGGAUAGAAUCGUCGUCCGGCGACCGCGUGCCUAGCAACAAUUAUGAAAAUUCGAUUGAAAGCGCCGGGCCGCACGUGAAAGAACUCUCAUGCCACUGUGUCUCGCGUGCGUUCGACAGCCGUGAAGGGAUCCUCCAGGUGCCUCGAGGAGACAGGAGAGCGGCCCCGAGGCGCGCGCUCUCUCUCUCUCCCGCCUGUUAAAUCCUCUGCCUCGGAGGCGCGGAGAGAGAAUUUCGGAGGGAUAGAAAGGGAGGCGGCGAAAAGGAGAAAUUGGGGAGAAAAAUGAAUAGCGACAAGAUGGAGGUUGGCGCGGAAGUGAGCGACCCGGAGGCGGCUGGCAAGAUCAGGGCGAAGAAACGGGACUCGAUAGCGGACGUCACGACCUUAGAUAUAAAGUCACGUCUCAGUUUGGAGACGACGGAGGCGGCUCGCGGCGAGCCGCACGUCAACGGGGUGGCACAGGUGAACGGUAUCUGCGACUCCCCGCAAAGAACUGCCGCCGUCACCGAUCUCUCCCCGCAAUCUAAAACAAUGGAAACUAGUCAUUUAAACCAACAUGAACAAGCAGGAACAUUAUCCAUGGAAAGUAAAGACAACGAUAUCCAAUAUGUUAGCUAUACAAGUGAAUUACAAAUGCCUGAUAUUAUGAAAUUAAUACAGAAGGACCUAAGUGAACCGUAUUCUAUUUACACGUAUAGAUAUUUUAUUCAUAAUUGGCCGAAAUUAUGCUUCCUGGCAAUGCACGGUGAGGAGUGCGUCGGUGCCAUUGUCUGCAAACUAGACAUCCACAGGAAGGUGAUAAAGCGCGGGUAUAUCGCGAUGCUGGCGGUCGAUGUAAAAUAUCGGAAACGGAAGAUCGGGUCGAAUCUGGUGAGGCAGGCGAUCCAAGCGAUGGUGGAGGACGACGCUGACGAGGUGGUGUUGGAGACGGAGAUCACUAACAGGCCGGCGCUGCGCCUGUAUGAGAAUCUUGGAUUUGUGCGGGAUAAACGCUUAUUUCGAUAUUACUUAAACGGCGUGGAUGCGUUGCGACUGAAAUUAUGGCUCAGGUGAAAUUCAUCCGCGUGCUUAUGUCAAUAGCUUGAAGAUAUAAAAAAUAAUGAGUGAUAACCAGUGACAAAAUCGAAACUAUAAAAAGUACUGAAAAUAAUCAGUGUAUCUUGCUGGGGCUCACAUUGAUAAAUGCCUCAAUGCGGAAAGAUUACAAUCCGUUCAGCGAAUUUCAAAAGUUUUGCGAAAAGUUGAUAUAUCCGCAUCAUAGGACGAAUUGCGA